CGCGGUCCAAGGCGGGAGGGGCCCGGCGUGAAAAACAGCUGCCUGCCCACCUGCUUCGGGGCGGACGCACUGCUCGGCCGUGCGGGGCCACACCCGCAAUAGCGUCCUCAGCCUGGCCGCCUCCACCCUGGGUUUCUGAACGAAGUCAGGAGAAUCCAAAUCCAGUGUUUAUAUUCUGUGCCGGCAAAAUACCCGAUUCUGUCUCUUUACUUGCGCUUAUAAAAAGAUUCGAGAGAAGUCACCAAAGUCUGAAAGCGAAGGAAGCAACACGAAGGGCACUCCCGUUGGACGGACGGGUGGGCUCCUGCUACCGCAGGGUCGUGCUGGGUGGGGUGAGGCGGGGAGAGGCGUGUGCCACGCCACGCGCACAGGCAGCGUGCAAAUGCUUCAGAAGGACAGGGCCAGCAGUGUGGCUGGUCUUAGGCGGAGGGCCCUUAACUGGUACCCCUGCUGCCCUCCCAGGUGACCUCAGCUAACCGUCUUCGGUAGAAGCCAACUCCCCAAAGUAUGCACAAAACCCCACGCUAAUAGUAAACCGAAGAGAGGAAAGCGCGGUGAGGAUUUCCAACCUAACACAGAAACUGGGAGGGACCGCCUGGGGAGUCACAGGCCUGCAAGGCGGAGCCCGGUCUGGCACCGGGGCAGAGCGUGGGGCCACCACUGCCACCUUGCACCCGACAGCAGCCUGCUUCGCCAGACGCGGCGCGUGCCUGGAUCCUUCCACGCCGCGUCCCGUAAACACCCGCUGUAAAACCGUGGCAGUAGAAGCCCCCUGCUCUCCUCGACACCAUCCGCUCAACCUGCACCCCGACGUCACGACGCACCACAGGCCUGCAGCCCCCUAACUGCACCUCUGAAACCCACAAAGCUCUAAAAACAGGAGGAUUUGUUUGUCAAGUUUGCGGUACAUUCCCUUGGUAGCAAACCUUGAGCUAAGGUGGUAGAAGAGCGCUUUUCUGAGGAAAGAGGAGCGUGAAUGUGAUUACGGGGCGCUGGCCCGGCCCCACAGGGCCCCGUAGCACGCAGCACACACAGCACGGUAACUGUGUGCGCGCAAACGCAGAGAACAGGUGAACGUAGGUCGUUUGCCAAAAGCAGCCGGAAGUAUGCACACGCCUUAAGAUGUCAUUCCUACGUCACCCUACGCUUUCCUGCGGGGUUACGGUGACAGGGAGCGGCUGGGGCUGGCAGCUUGGGAACCCCAACCCGCGUUUAGAGGUUGUACCGUUUGCCUCGAGUUCUACGUAAAUCACGAAGAAGAUCCUGCUGAAGAAGAACCCACACGUUUGAAGACUUAAGUCACUAGACACAAAUCACCCACCUUCGGAAUUCUCAAAAUGUGUAUUUCCAGGGGUGUAUGACGUGUAGCAGAAACCGGCACGGGACUUAGCCUAUUUCCCCUGGUGACACGAGGCCCGCCACUUUUCGUUACUCCUCUGCUGCAGUGGCACAGCGGCAGCGUGUACCUGCACGCUCCCUCAGGCAGGGCGGGGCGCACCCCGAACCCCGUGAAGACAGCCCCCCAAGUCUGGCAAACGUUCUUUCCCGAUAACGGACGUUUGACAACUGCUGACGCGUCCCGAGGGCCGAGGACAGAACUGAGUGGCCCCAGCCGCUCCGUGUGGGAGGGCCUGUCCCCCCGCGGGAGGGCCUCGUCCCCCCGGGCAAGAGGGGAGCGUGCCGUGCACACGGCAAGUAAAUCUGAGUAAGGAACAGGGAGUCUCUGGGAAUGAAAGAAUCCGAAUUUACCCAUCUUAUGUUAAUAAAGAACGCGAGGCGCAAAGAA